CCUACGGGUGGCAGCAGUGGGGAAUAUUGCACAAUGGGGGAAACCCUGAUGCAGCGACGCCGCGUGAAGGAAGAAGUAUUUCGGUAUGUAAACUUCUAUCAGCAGGGAAGAAAAUGACGGUACCUGACUAAGAAGCCCCGGCUAACUACGGGCCAGCAGCCGGGGUAAUACGUAGGGGGCAAGCGUUAUCCGGAUUUACUGGGUGUAAAGGGAGCGUAGGCGGCGAUGCAAGUCAGAAGUGAAAGCCCGGGGCUCAACUCCGGGACUGCUGUCGAAACUGUGUUGCUUGAUUGCAGGAGAGGUAAGUGGAAUUCCUGGUGUAGCGGUGAAAUGCGUAGAUAUUAGGAGGAACACCAGUGGCGAAGGCGGCGUACUGGACUGUAAAUGACGCUGAGGCUCGAAAGCGUGGGGAGCAAACAGGAUUAGAUACCCUGGUAGUC
rnacentral:rRNA from 1 species